UGAAAACGUUUUAAAAUAAUAUCGUUCUUAAAAUUUCUUUAAAGAAAGAAGAAUGGUAUUUCUUCUAUAAAGUUCCUUCUUCUUUUGUCUAAGAAAAAAAUAUUAUAAGGAGGAAGAACAAGA
rnacentral:sRNA from 18 species